UACGGAGGGUGCAAGCGUUGCUCGGAAUUAUUGGGCGUAAAGGGUAGGUAGGUGGUCUUAUUUGUCUAGGGUGAAAGCCUCGGGCUCAACCCGAGAAGUGCCUUAGAAACGGUAAGACUAGAGUCCUGGAGAGGGUCGUGGAAUUCCCGGUGUAGCGGUGAAAUGCGUAGAGAUCGGGAGGAACACCAGAGGCGAAGGCGGCGACCUGGACAGGAACUGACACUAAACUACGAAAGCGUGGGGAGCAAACAGG
rnacentral:rRNA from 1 species